rnacentral:rRNA from 1 species
UACAGAGGGUGCGAGCGUUAAUCGGAAUUACUGGGCGUAAAGCGUGCGUAGACGGUCAUGUAAGUCGGGUGUGAAAGCCCCGGGCUCAACCUGGGAAUUGCAUUCGAGACUGCAUGGCUAGGGUGCGGAAGAGGGAAGCGGAAUUUCCGGUGUAGCGGUGAAAUGCGUAGAUAUCGGAAGGAACAUCAGUGGCGAAAGCGGCUCCCUGGUCCAGCACCGACGUUCAGGCACGAAAGCGUGGGGAGCAAACAGG